GAUGAACGCUGGCUGCGUGCUUAAUACAUGCAAGUCGAACGAACAGACGGGGAGCUUGCUCCUCUGACGAUGGCGGCGCUCGGUUGAGUAACAUUUUGACACCCUACCUAUAAGAAGGGUAUAACUUCAGGUAACCGGCGCGUAUACCACAUAAUAUAUUGAACCGCAUGGUUCAAUAGAGAAACAGGAUUUUGCUGUAACUUAUUGAUGGAUCCGCGGCGCAUUUGCUAGUUGGUAAGUUAACUGCUGACCAAGGCAACCAUGCGUAGCCGACCUGAGAGGGUGAUCGGCCACACUGGAACGGAGACAAGGUACAGACUGCUACGGGAGGCAGCAGGAGGGAAACGGGCGGAAUGGGCGAAAGAUUGACGGAGAAACGCCGAGGGAGUGAUGAAGAUCUUCGGAUCGUAAAACUAUGGUAAUAGGGAAGAAAAAACGUGUAAGUCAAGAGGCAGGUCUUGACGGUACCUAAUCAGAAAGCCACGGCUAACUACGUG
rnacentral:rRNA from 1 species